rnacentral:lncRNA from 1 species
CGGACAACCCUGAGCGGGUGAGACGUGUCCCAAAGUGUCCCCAAAAUGUCCCCAAAGUGUCCCCAAUGUGUCCCCAGUGUGUCUUCAGUGUGUCCCCAAUGUGUCCCCAAAAUGUCCCCAAAGUGUCCCCAAAAUGUCCCCAACAUGUCCCCAGAGUGUCUUCAAUGUGUCCCCAAUGUGUCCCCAAAAUGUCCCCAAAGUGUCCCCAAAGUGUCCCCAACGUGUCCCCAAUGUGUCCCCAAAAUGUCCCCAAAGUGUCCCCAAAAUGUCCCCAAUGUGUUCCUAGUGUGUCUCCAAUGUGUCCCCAAAGUGUCCCCAGUGUGUCCCCACUGUGUCCCCAUGUCCCCAUCCGUGUCCCCACGUCCCCACGUCUGUCGCUUUGUCCCGACGUCUGUCCCUUUGUCCCCAUGUCCCCAUCCCUGUCCCAAUGUCCCCAUCCCUGUCCCCACGUCUGUCCCUUUGUCCCCACGUCCCCAGCGCCGGGAGGUGGCAGCACUGAAGCA